rnacentral:rRNA from 1 species
GAUGAACGCUAGCUACAGGCUUAACACAUGCAAGUCGAGGGGCAGCAUGAAGGAAGCUUGCUUCCUUUGAUGGCGACCGGCGCACGGGUGAGUAACGCGUAUCCAACCUGCCCAUUACACUGGGAUAGCCCGCCGAAAGGCGAAUUAAUCCCGGAUAGUGUUCUUAGAUGGCAUCAGACAAGGACUAAAGGUAAUUUCCGGUAAUGGAUGGGGAUGCGUCUGAUUAGGUAGUAGGCGGGGUAACGGCCCACCUAGCCAUCGAUCAGUAGGGGUUCUGAGAGGAAGGUCCCCCACAUUGGAACUGAGACACGGUCCAAACUCC